rnacentral:tRNA from 1 species
ACUUUUAUAAUUUAAAUAAAAUAUUGGUCUUGUAAACCAAAAAUGAAACUUUUCUAAAAGUA